rnacentral:lncRNA from 12 species
GAAAUCCAGAGUCCACUUCUUCUGUGUCAGGAGAUGCCACAUAGCAGAUAGCGGCAAAAUAUUCCUAAAAACUUAUGUUCGGUGGGAGGCUGGGCAUUUCCCUUUAGAAUAAGAGUCCUUGUCAGUUUGCUUCUCUUCAGUCUUAAUGUUAGAGAGUGAAGGGAACAUAAUAUAAUCGCCGUGGUUCAAUCAGGCUGGAUGCAGUUAUCUCCCCCAAAAUAAGCAUUUAAUUCCCUUCUUACAAUUUCCAAGCAAUGACCAAAACACAUCGCUAGCAAGAACCCAUGCACACUUCCGUUCAGACAAAUAUUCUUUCAAUAUAAAUAGAAGAGAAGGAAUGGGAAGCGGGGAGCAUGACCAGAGGGUCAAACAUACUCAUUUCAACUCCAGGUCCUCAGCAUCAUAUCCACCCUCAAUCCUGACUGCUCACUGCUUCUCACCUGCAAGUGGCCCCCACUCUCCCCAAGGCUGAAGGAGAGGCAGGUUCCUGGAUAGACCCCAUAUGAAAUCCACACUAUCCCAAUAUAAGAUCAUGACAAUAAACCAGGUUUAAAUAUCAAUGUCCUCUAGUUUCAGUUGAAGAUCGUAUCCCAUGAACACACCCGGAUGGAUGGUUCUUCCAUACCUACAGAACACACACUUCAUAUAACACAAAAUAUUUCCAGUAUGGGACUGUGUUUGGGUUCCAUGAGUGAGUGACGUUGUGGGUGUGGGUGUGUGUGUGCCCAUGUGCAACAAAGUUACUAGACACAUCCCUGGACUGCUUCCCCAGUCCUGUGUCCCUUCUUACUUGUCCUCUUGGUAGGUCUGGCUCUCCCUGGCACAUGCGGGACUUUGGCCACGUCCCCGGCCACCUGAGGUGGGAUCAUCCCAGCUGCAGUGUUGAGCAGGUCGACGGUCUGUUGAGGAUGAUUCUUUGGCAUCUCAGGCUACCUGAAUCCCAUCCCAGACACCCACUGACUUGUCCCUUCAGGACGUGGGAAAGAUGGUGGCCCAUCAGGCUCAGCUUGGGCCUGACAGACCCUUGAGAGCCCAGAAAGGCAAGAGGCCACAGACAGCAGGACUGGCCCUCAGAGUUCCCAGACCGGAGGAGGAGGAUCCCAGGGUAAACUGCAGGGACUGUGAAGCCUUUGAAUACAAGGCAUCAAGCACCAGAUGUCCCAAAAAACACUGGGGUCCGACCCUCGUUCCCGUGGCCUUGGGCUCCAGGAGGCUGAAAGAGAAAGUGGAGCCGUGGAGUGAGCGGGACCAGCGGGACCAGGCUGGGCUGUUGAACCAAGCUGAGAGGGAGAAGGCAAGUAGCCGAGCAGAGGAAGGCCCUGCUCCACAGGUUCCCCAGGAGACCCCGGGAGGGGCAGAAGCGCACCUGGAAGGAAGACACAGAAUCUUGUGA